GGGCAGGUAGUCCCGUAGGGUGCGGGGGCAGACUGUAAAUCUGUUGUCCAUGUGGCCCAGUGAGUUCGACUCUCACCCUGCCCACCA
rnacentral:tRNA from 1 species